GGGAUUAAUUUAGGGUCAAACCCACCGUAACACCGAGUUAGACCCCCCCUCCAGAGGUGAAUGUUGUCGACCGCUUGCUUCUCUAGUUAUACCAACUUUAGUAACGACCGCAGGAUAGAAAUACAGAGAGGUCUGGGGAGCCAUAAACAAACCUCAACCAAAACGCCACUCUAUAGCCACAAAUAAUGCUCAGAACAGCACCUAACUUCAUCAACAGGACAUAUAGGGUCACAGACAUAGUACUAGACACCAAACAUCUUUUUAACUUUGACUCAUUUCUUUAGCAAAGAGACUAAACACAACUCACCUACUCUCUUCCAGCAGACGCUUGUUUGUAGUGAGACCUCAGGCCAGUCCAUUAUGGACUACAGCGGGGUGCCGCAGCUCAAGGAAGAACAUUUAUGAUCAUUUCUUCAUCAUUUCCAUGAAGUAAUAAUCACCAUAUUAAUCAUUUUACAGACGCGGUAGUUCUUCUGUCUUAGCGUCUCGGUCUGAUUGUAUUUCCAUGAAGAAAUGAUCAUAAAUGUUCUUCCUUGAGCUGCGGCACCCCGCCUUUAGUCAAUCUUUAAAGGUUGACUAAAGAGCAUUUAUCACAGCGCUGAAAGGACUCCGUACUGAUCCUCGAUUACAGAAACUGCUGCAUUCUUCAGAGAGAAUUUCACCAAACCCUGUUUUUAUUUUCAUCGACUGAGCAGCUAACAUGAAGCUAACAUGCUACAUGAGAAGACUGCUAAUGUUUGCUCUACCGAUCGAUCUAAAUGCCCAAAAAUCUACUACCAUCCCCUGUCACAGUCGCCUCGGACCUCCCCAGGAAGAACUCCAGGUCUGGAGCUGGUCCUCAUGCUGUGACCCAACUUCUGUUUUUUUUCCUUUUACAUUUUCUUUGUAAAAUCACAUGAAGUAAAAAUAAAAAUGAUGCAUACAGGGAGUUUUAAACCAUUGUAUUGUUGCUGCCGAGGAGAGCUGUAACCUAGCAACAGUAAACACUGGAGAGCUGGAUGGACUCUUCAAGCACAGAAACCAUCAUCAGUGGAAACAGGCCUCAAUCAGACAAAGUCCUCCUUUAAACCACCGUAAGGGAAAUAAAUCCCAGGAUCCUGAUGUCUCUGUCUUCUGUCAGUGACACUGGUUUAUAAACAGACCCUGACAUGUCAGAUCUGAAGCUCUGCCUCAGAAAUAAGCACAUAGAUACUGCAGUCAGAGUCUGACCUGCAAAAACACAGACAGCUGACCACCUCUGUGAUGAGCAGAGUGAGACUCAGCAGGAUUUUCUCCAUGAUGACAGAGGAUAAACAGCUGUAGAUCAGCUGGACGGUCAGCUGUGUGCUGUCAUUGUUCUGCCCCACUUCUUUGAAGGAACCUUCCGGCUCUCCUCGGUGCCGUAUCCGCAGACAGCUUAAGUGGAUCAAUUAGCGAAGACGAAGGCGGACCUUGAUGAAACUGUUUGCUUUUCUCUCAUUCUCUCUAAUCACAUGGAGCUCGUCAAUUACGCCCAUAAAUGGAUCCUCUGUUCCUGUCGACCAUUCCAGUGAUUCAUGUCCAGAGGCUGUGGUCGCCAUGGAAACCCAACAAUGGAAAACAUGUUUGACACUGAUCCCAGAAAAGUGUCCUGUCAGACCCGGAUGAAGAGUGUUUGUGUGGAGUUUGUUUUCUCUGCUUUAUCGACGCUGGACACUCGUCUCUGCACCUUUUAAUGAGAGCGCACGUGAAAUCUGAUCACAUAAAGUCAUAUUCACUCUGCCAUCAUGCAAAGUCUCUUCGCCUUGUAUGUCUGUGUGACCUGUUUAACAUGAUAGGAGUGGGAGCCCACAGAGCUAACCUGAUUUCAUAAGCAAAUCAGGUUGUAUCCCAGAUGUACAACAUCACUGUCCCUGCUGUCUGUGGCGACCAAACCCAGAACCUCCUCUGAGAGCGGCUCUGAUCUAACUAACUGCAGAUCUAGGACAGACCAUCCUCUUCUCUCAGUCCAACCUUUGGGAAGGACACCUGAUGCCACAUGAUGGCACCUGUUUGCUGUGAAUAGCUCCCACCCACACUGUGUCGAAAGACGGUGAGAAACCCCAGACAGAAACCUGUGAUGUACAGGGACUAAUCCUGCACACAAAGACCGCUGAAUACGCUGAUGCAUGAGAGAGAGAGAGAGAGAGAGUCCGCGUGUCUCACUACCAUCUGGUCUACGAGGAAGCAGAGAGUCAAUGCUUUUCCUUGCCUGUCAGAGACAUCUGACAAACUGGAAACAGACAGCACACAGACAUUUCACAAGGGAUGGGAACAGGCUCAAAAUGGUUCAAUCCAUCGACAUUGUUUACAUUUCAUUUUAAUGAUUCCCUGAACGAUUCCUUUCUUCUGGGUUCUUUGGAAAACUGUCUCGUGAGAGGCAGUCUACACGAGAGAGAACAGAGAUUCUGAGGAAACAAACAUGGCGGAUGGUACAAAAGUAGGCAGAAACGAUCUAAAGCGUGGCGUCAUUUUACUAAAAAAGACGACAAUUUUUGUGUGGAAGUUUUGAGUUUGUGUAGCGUGGACUAACUGAGUUAGAAGCCUGUAAAAAAACACUUGACCUGACCAGAAAAACCCUCUGAAUUUUGCGUGUGACUCCACCCCGCGUAGCCGUGUCCUCCUUUUGGGGAUCCAGGAUAUGGUCACCCUAAUUUGAGUUUAUACCGUCCAAAGUAAAUGCUGAACAAAUAGUUUGUCGUUUGAUUAUUUUUAGACUCUCACUGAAGAUGGCGUACAUCUUUCUCUGUCAUCAGAGACUCAAUAAAAUUUUGAGUUAACAUUGAUGACUGUAGUCUAUUUAUUUAAAUCAAGAAACGGCGUUGAUAAGGGAAUCGUAAAAGAAUUGAAUUGAUAAACAGAAUCUUUGAUGACAUCGAUAUCGAUAAAAUCUUAUCAGUUUCCAUCUCUACAUUUCACACUCUCCAGGAAGGUCUGAGAGGAUCUCAUGACUGACAUGAUCAUAAAUCCUAAACUGACUCUUCAGCAGUCUGAAAGUGUUGAAGUUUACAGAUCAGGUAAAGGUUCAGUUUGGAUCCUGUGAAGGUUUCAGCUGGAGGCUGUCGGGGUCGUCACUCACAUCUCUGAUGUCCAAAUAUUUGUGUCUGUUUGUUUGUCCACCUGCACCACCUGAAGCUGUUCUUCACUUUUCUAAAAGGUCAUCUUUACAUCAAAUAAUAUCAUUACAGGACACAUUUGUGCUGAGUCAGAUCUCUACGACAUUUUUAAAAAGACUUUUAAAAUAAAAUUCACACACCUAACUUAAGUGAUAUCUGAGGCAUUUCAGGGUUCACCUCUUUCAGACAUACAUUCAUAUUUUCAUGAAUAUAAUGAAAAAUUAUUAUUAUUAUUAUUAAAAACUUUUGACAGUAGAAAAGUGGAGUAAGUUGAAGACCAUGAAGUCGGUCAAGUGUGUUUACAGCCGUAAGAAAGAAAGAUCAACAUUGAGAAGAGGAACUCUGGAAACUUGUUUUUCAGUCAAUACAAAACAAGUUUCGGUUCCUGUCCCUCUGUUUGAACAUCAGUGAGCUCAACGCUGCCUGUGUCCAUCAGAAACUGAAGCUGUUUGUUAUUACAGGUAUCUAACGAAAGGGAGACAAUGAUGUGUGUGUGUGCAUGCGUGCGUGCGUGUGAGGACAGUAGGACUCCAGCUCUGCUUGACUGCAGUUCCUCUGACAUCAGCAGAUACAGUGCAGCUCCUCUAAUCCUCAGGACAAACAGAAAGUGGACAGAGAGUUCGAUAUCCGCUGCUGUCCCUGCAGAGUGGAGGAAGCUGCAGAUAAGAUAAGAUGAUAUCUGUGAGAUGAACAGCAGAGCACUUUCCUGUCACUGUGACUGUAGUGAAUAAAAUGGCUUUGAGUUUAAGAAGUCAAAGUUAAAGGAUGAGAUGAUGCAGUGAGUUUGCUUCAGGAUGGUUUUGUCUGAGUGUUAAAGUGCAGAUUAAUCAUCUGGUUAAUUCAGUCUGAAGCAGCUUUUUCAUGGGAUUGAGGUUAAAGAGACUUUGAAGGGUUUUAAAAGAUGUGGACUUUCAGAGACAUCAUGGACGAGGGAAAGAAGAGAGAAAAAGAGAUAAAAGAAAGAUAAAGAGAGAGAAAAGAGAUGAAAGAAAAUAAAAGAGGGAAAAAGAGAUGUAAGAAAAAUAAAAGAGAGACAAAAAGAAAUGAAAAAAGAUAAAAGAUAAAAGAUAGAUAAGAGAGAAAAGAGAAAAAAGAUGAAAGAGACUUUGUGAUAUUUUAGAGGAUUUCUAACAUUAAUUUUAACAAAAGGUUAAUGCACUUGAAAUAUUUUUUCAACCCUUUAUUUUUCAGCCCAUUCUUUCUUUUUUCUUUUUUAUAACUAUUUAGGAGGAAAUAAUGUUGAGAUGUAAGGGAAGCACAGAUCAGUGUCUCCAGAACCCUUCCUGUUUGCGUUAAUUAUUUAUCCUGACCCAUGUCUGAUGUUGAGUGUGUGUCAUUGGUGCUCUUGUGUGGACGCCGGCUUUGUUUGUGUUUGGUCUUAACCUCCACAAACACUAAGUCCUGUGAUCCAGGUUAGUAGGCUUUAGGGCUCAGUAUUGUGUUUGAUAAAAGAUACAGAUCCUCUCUAUAGAGCGGUUUUAAUAUGGACUCUUUGACUCAUGACAAUAGCCUGUUUAAAUCCUUUAAUUUUACUCACUGAUGAGGACCGGUCUCAGUGUAAUCGAACACUCAGACCAUAUUCAGCCCGGUCCUCCUGUAAACAGAGACUGCAGGCCUGCAUUAGCUCAGGUGUGUCGCUCCUCGCUGUUGUCUAACCCCCCGCUGAGAGGAUGUUUUUAUCAACGCGCCUUAGAGGGAGCAAAGCUGAUGUCACUGCGUUUAAUUAAACCGUCCAAUAUUAUAUUUUUGAUCCAGUGUUCAGGCUCCUGCUCUGACUCAUUAAUCAGACACUAUCCUGUUAGAGAAAGAAGAGUUUUUUUCCAUCAGGCUGCAAAUGAAAAGCCGGUAAAUUUGACACCAUUCACAUCCAUUUAAACCAUCAGAGUGUCAGAGAGAUUCUCACUAUCAUCACCACCAUGCAUUAUCCUUGUGUUUGACCUAUUCCUGAAGAAAUGGGGCAGUAACCAAGGAGAGAGACCGAUCGUUCGGUCUAAAAAUACAGUCUCAGAGGCUGGCUUCACUUUACUGCUGCACAGUCCCCCUUUCCUUGCCUCUGUCACGGCUCAGGAGAAGCUCUGUGUAACAAACAAGCCUCGUCUGAUCAUUAUCCAAACUGCAAGCAGCCAUUCAUGCUCCACCUCACUGCAGGCCCUCUGUUCAGCUGCUGUGUGCCAAGUGUCUGGAGGUUUGUUUGCUAAUUGGUUUGUUUGACUCUGGAAAGAGCUUAAAAGGAGAAUCAUGAAAGAUAGAAGAGAAAGAUGCAAAUACAAAACUACUCGCUUUCCCAUCAGGUGCAUUAUACAGCUACACUUCUCUUGGUCAGAUAUUGACAGUCCACUCUGCAUGAAAUUAGAUCAAAACUGCAUCUAUUUGGAGCAACCGUGUGAUCGGGGCCACAGAUCCCUGGAUAGCAGGGAGGCCCAAAAUACCACACAUGGUGUUUCUGUGGAGGAAGGACUUCAUAAAUACAGUUUAAAGGGAUAUGCCGGCGUAAAAUUAAUUUAGGGUCAAACCCACCGUAACACCGAGUUAGACACCCCUUCUAGAGAUGAAUGUUUCCGACCGCUUGCUUCUCUAGUUAUACCAACUUUAGUAACGACCGCAGCAUAGCAAUACAGAGAGCCACGCCCCCAACCAAAACGCCACUCUAUAGCCACAAAUAAUGCUCAGAACAGCACCUAACUUCAUCAACAGGACAUAUAGGGUCACAGCCAUAGUACUAGACACAAAACAUCUUUUUAACUUUGACUCAUUUCUUUAGCAAAGAGACUAAACACAACUCACCUACUCUCUUCCAGCAGCCGCUUGUUUGUAGAGAGACCUCAGGCCAGUCCAUUACGGACUACAGCGGGGUGCCGCAGCUCAAGGAAGAACAUUUAUGAUAAUUUCUUUAUCAUUUCCUUGAAGUAAUAAUCAUUUUGCUCUGCAGACACGGUAGUUCUUCUGCCUUACCCCCAAUUUCCAAGUUUCCAAGUUUCAACAUUCAUCUCUGGAGGGGGUGUCUAACUCAGUGUUACGGUGGGUUUGACCUUAGAUUGAAUUUACGCCGGAAUAUCCCUUUAAGGCACUAAUAUAAGACUGGGUUCAGCAAGGACUCUGAUUCAUUAGACAGACCCACCAUAAUGAGGCA
rnacentral:lncRNA from 1 species